AUUCCAGCUCCAAUAGCGUAUAUUAAUGUUGUUGCAGUUAAAAAGCUCGUAGUUGAACCUUGGGCUUGGUUGGCCGGUCCGCCUUUUUGGCGAGUACUGGACCCAACCGAGCCUUUCCUUCUGGCUAACCUAUCGCCCUUGUGGUGUUUGGCGAGCCAGGACUUUUACUUUGAAGAAAUUAGAGUGUUCAAAGCAGGCCUUUGCUCGAAUAUAUUAGCAUGGAAUAAUAGAAUAGGACGUUAUGGUUCUAUUUUGUUGGUUUCUAGGACCAUCGUAAUGAUUAAUAGGGACGGUCGGGGGCAUCAGUAUUCAGUUGUCAGAGGUGAAAUUCUUGGAUUACCUGAAGACUAACUACUGCGAAAGCAUUUGCCAAGGACGUUUUCAUUA
rnacentral:rRNA from 1 species